rnacentral:rRNA from 1 species
CCAAUAGCGUAUAUUAAAGUUGUUGCAGUUAAAAAGCUCGUAGUUGAAUUUCGGGAUCAAGGGAUCGGUCAUGCCUUGGUAUGUACUGGUCUCACUGAUUCCUCCUUCCUGAUGAACCGUAAUGCCAUUAAUUUGGUGUUGCGGGGAAACUGGACUGUUACUUUGAAAAAAUUAGAGUGUUUAAAGCAGGCUAACGCUUGAAUACAUUAGCAUGGAAUAAUGAAAUAGGACGUUCGAUCCUAUUUUGUUGGUUUCUAGGAUUGACGUAAUGAUUAAUAGGGAUAGUUGGGGGCAUUAGUAUUCAAUUGUCAGAGGUGAAAUUCUUGGAUUUAUUGAAGACUAACUACUGCGAAAGCAUUUGCCAAGGAUGUUUUCAUUAAUCAAGAACGAAAGUUAGGGGAUCGAAGACGAUCAGAUACCGUCGUAGUCUUAACCAUAAACUAUGCCGACUAGGGAUCGGAUGAUGUUAAUUUUUUAAUGACUCAUUCGGCGCCUUACG